rnacentral:rRNA from 1 species
AGAGCUUAUGGUGAAUGCCUAGGCAAUGAAAGACGAAGAAGGACGUGGCAUACCUGCGAUAAGCCUCGGUGAGGUGGUAGCAACCUAUGACCCGGGGAUGUCCGAAUAGGAAAACCUUUCUUGUUUAACACAAGAAAUUUCCCAUUGAAAAAAUAGAUGGGAUAAAGAAGACCAAGGGAACUGAAACAUCUAAGUACCUUGAGGAACAGAAAUCGUAAGAGAUUCCCUAAGUAGUGGCGAGCGAACAGGGAACAGCCCAAAAUUUGAUUAGUGCCAAGACUGCAGUCGUUGCUAAUCAGAUGGUUGUAAGAUCGCGCAUUAGAGUCCUGCAGGAUUCUUGCGAAGUUACAAAAGAAUAUGUUAGUCAAAGGCUCUGGAAAGGGCCACCGCAGAAGGUGAUAGUCCUGUAGGCGAAAAUAUAUUCUCUUCGGUGCGACUCUUAAGUAGCGCAGGGCACGAGAUAACCCGGCGUGAAUCCGCCCUGACCACAGGGCAAGGCUAAAUACUUUCAUUGACCGAUAGUGAACCAGUACCGUGAGGGAAAGGUGAAAAGAACCCCUGUUAGGGGAGUGAAAUAGUACCUGAAACCAUAAGCUUACCAAGCGGUCAGAGCCCGUUUGUCCCGAUUUAUCGGGAUAAGGGUGAUGGCGUGCCUAUUGAAGAAUGAACCAACGACUUAAUUAUGAGCGGCUUAGGUUAAGUCACUUCGUGACGUAGCCAUAGUGAAAGCGAGGCUUAAAUGGCCGAAUCUGUCGCUUAUAUUAGACCCGAAACCGGGUGAGCUAUCCAUGGCCAGGAUGAAACCACAUUAAACUGUGGCGGAGGUCCGAACCAAUUAGAGGUGCAAAUCUAGUGGAUGAGCUGUGGAUAGAGGAGAAAUUCCAAUCGAACCCGGAGAUAGCUGGUUCUCCCCGAAAUAUAUUUAGGUAUAGCCCGUGUAUUUAAUAAGGAUAGGUAGAGCACUGAAUGGGUUUGAGGAGCGUAAGCUUACUCUAUCUAAUCAAACUCCGAAUUAUUCUUUGUAUAUACGCGGAGUCAGACUGUGGGAGCUAAGUUUCAUAGUCAAAAGGGAAACAGCCCAGACCAUCGUCUAAGGUCCCCAAAUCAUAGCUAAGUGUUUAAGGAUGUUUUAUUGCUCAGACAGCCAGGAGGUUGGCUUAGAAGCAGCCAUUCCUUUAAAGAGUGCGUAACAGCUCACUGGUCAAGUGAUGAUGCGCCGAAGAUUUAACGGGGCUCAAGCUAUGUACCGAAGACAUGGAUUUUCGUGUUUCGCUAACGCGAAUCACAAGUGCCAAGCAACAAGUGCCAAGUAACAAUUAUGCUUUAUAUUUGAAACUUAAAACUUGAAACUUGAAACUUCGUGUUUCUCGAUAGUGAAACACGAAAGUGGUAGGGGAGCGUUCUAUGCGCGUUGAAGUUAUACCGUAAGGAGUGAUGGAGUGCAUAGAAGUGAGAAUGUUGGUAUGAGUAGCGUCAAAAUUCCGAUGAAAAUUCGGAACGCCGAAAAUCCAAGGUUUCCUGGGCACCGUUAAUCGUCCCAGGGUUAGUCGGUCCUAAGUCGAGGCCGAAAGGCGUAGGCGAUGGACAAGCAGUUAAUAUUCUGCUACUGCGAAUAGUUUACCAAAAGCAAUUUGAGUCUAUUGGUAUCAUCUAUAUUUGUACCUUCGGGUAUGAUUAUAGUGGCCUCUAGUACACGAUGCGCUUGACGAUGGGGUAACGCAAAAGGGUAGAUUGUGCGUGUUUUGGCUAUACACGUCUAAGGUGUAAGGAGGAUCUUCUAGGAAAAUCCGGAAGGUCAAUUUCAACUUCGAGCACCGAAUGAAAUGUUGCUUUUAGAAGCGACGGAUACAAUUCAUCUCAUUUGACAAGAAAAACCUCUAAGUUACAAACUAUUCGUAUCCGUACCGGAAACCGACACUGGUGGAUUGGUGCGUAAUGCACCAAGGCGAUCGAUAGAACCUUUGCCAAGGAACUCUGCAAAACAGCGGCCGUAACUUCGGGAUAAGGCCUGCCUGACUUUGUUUAGCUUAUGCGAGAUAAAAGUUCAGGCCGCAGCGAAAGAAUCCCUGCAACUGUUUAACAAAAACACAGGUCUCUGCAAAGCCGCAAGGCAAUGUAUAGGGACUGACACCUGCCCAAUGCUAGAAGGUUAACGGGUUUGGUUACCCCGCUUAGGCGGGGGAAGCUGGACCCCGAAGCCCUAGUGAAUGGCGGCCGUAACUAUAACGGUCCUAAGGUAGCGAAAUUCCUUGUCGGGUAAGUUCCGACCCGCACGAAUGGUGGAAUGAUAGGGAUACUGUCUCGGCAAAGGACUCGGCGAAAUUGCAAUACCGGUAAAGAUGCCGGUUACCUACGAUAAGACAGAGAGACCCCGUGAAGCUUUACUAUAGCUUGAUAUUGGGUUGAUGUUAUGUUUGUGUAGCAUAGGUGGGAGACUUUGAAGCCUAGGCGCUAGCUUAGGUGGAGUCAUCGUUGAAAUACCACCCUAAUAUGAUGUCAAUUCUAACCUAAACCUCAUACCAGGUUUAGGAACAGUGUCAGGUGGGUAGUUUAACUGGGGCGGUUGCCUCCUAAAUGGUAACGGAGGCGUUCAAAGGUCACCUUGUCCCGGAUGGAAAUCGGGAUGAAAGCAUAAAGGUAAAUGGUGGCUUAACUGCGAGACUAGCAAGUCGAGCAGAGACGAAAGUCGGACUUAAUGAUCUGCUACGUACUAGUGGUAGUCGUAGCACUCAACGGAUAAAAGUUACUCCGGGGAUAACAGGCUGAUUGCGUCCAAGCGCCCACAGCGACGACGCAGUUUGGCACCUCGAUGUCGGCUCAUCGCAUCCUGGGGCUGGAGCAGGUCCCAAG